rnacentral:lncRNA from 1 species
CUAGGUGUUUUUUGUUGUGUGAAAUAAAAAUCCGUUCUCUGCUUUCCUUUAUAAACUGAUAAUUCCGCUUGAUUUUGGAGGUUUCUAGUCUCCUUGUUAGUUACGCUUGAUUUCUUACUCUAAUAAGAAAUCAAUCUUCGCUUCAGAUAAAAGGCGAAAUAUUCUUAAAGGUAUGAAAUCGAGAUGGUUGAUUAAGUGGUGGAGAGUUGAUGCAGAGUUUCAGAUUAGCCAGAGCUUUCAUCUUGGGAGCGUUCUGGCGAGAUUUAUGUGUCUCUUUCCUUGAAACUUUUCACUGGAUUUCAUCUCUAGCAUAUAGACGAAGAAGCUUUCAAGAUUGACGGCGAGCAAGGAAAGAAGAAACGGUCAAGUGGGCUAAAUCAGUCGAAGAAGGAGGCUGAAGGUUCACUGUCCGGUAGGUUUCUGGCGAGCAACCAUCGGUGCUCUCUUUGGAUCCAGAAAAUUCGAUGGCCACGUUAUAGGUCACGUGUCUUCCAUGUUUUCAUUGUUAUGUUAUCAAAAAGCACGUGUUUGUAUCCUUUUAAUUUUAUCUUGUUGGACAUCGGACGAGCUCAAUAUGUAUUGGGGAUGAUUUACCUACUUGUAAUUUGGGUUAAGCCCUUAUUAAUAAAAC